GCCAACUUUCUAGCGUUUUUGGGUUUUAGGAGCACAUGUUUGGCUACGGCGUAUGUGCCAAACUUGCAGAGUAGGUAUACGUAAUGUUAAGGUUGUUUUCACCAAAUCCUUAUUAUAUCUCGUUGUAUUUUUCCCGAGUUAAUAAUAAGUUCUUUGCCGAUCAAAAACAACUGACUCAAACAUGAAAUUCAAACUCAUUUAAUUGAAGAAUAAUUGCAUAUGACGUAAAGGUUUAGGUAGGGAAGAAGAAAAAAGGGACGAACUUGUAAAGAUGAAGGAAAAGAUACAAAAAAAACAAUCCCCAAAAAACCUUAGGAGUGACUUUGAGUCAAUUUAUUUCAUUAAAAAAAACUAAUUUAAUUAAUUAAUUCAAAUUUUUUCCAACAACGUGAUCUAUACAUUUCAAAUAAUAUGUCAUGGUAUGUAUCAAUUCUUUGUCUUAACGAAUCCCUUGUGAUAUGCGUGUACCAUUUUUCUUUCUGCACAUUCAACGUCUAAGACCUAAUUUUUUUCAGCCAUCAUUGUAUUGUAGACGAUAGAAAGGCCAUUAAUGUCCAAUUCGCAGCCUCCAUUCUUGGCAUAUCAGAGAUUUGGUGGCUAAGAUUAAAGCUAGUAAUGGUUAAGCCACAAGAGAGGCACCCUAAAAAGAUGACCACUUUUAUAUGUACCUCCACUUGUUUAUCUGUGUUCCCAAACCGCCAUAUGCCAAUAGGAAUAUCAAUAACCACGUAAUCGCAUUAGCUCAUUAGAAAUUAGUGCUAAUGGGGACGGACUUGAGAUUUUAAUUUUGAGUGGGAAAUUAUAUGUGACUUUUAAUUGAAAAAAAUUAGACGAGUCCAUUUACUACAGUUAGUUUCUAUCAACAAAAACAAAGGUAAAUAAUCCAAGUGUUUACGACAAAUGAAAGCGUAUUUUCGUAAUUGAAAAAAUGAGGAAAAUGUUAAUAAGACAUACAAUCCACAAAUGAGAGUGUAAACACUAUAAUUUUGGGCUGCAUACCUUCACAAUUUCAUAAUUAAUUUCUAAAUUUCUAGUAGAAUAUGAUUUGUGGUUGGAAUCUUAAGGGCAAUCUUCUGUUUACGCGACUUAGAUCUAUCAGUGCUCACAAAGGUACAUUGCCUCUAUAUAAAUUCGCUAGUCCUAGCUCUCCCAUCUCACCACUACCCAAAAAAACAUUUGCCCAACAUUGUUUUCAAAUUACCUUGUUGCAUGUCGUCCAUUGGUCUAGUUUUGCGGAAGUUUACGUGCAGCAAAAGAAGCAAGAGGAGGAAACUGAAAAGGAAUGGAGGGGGGGAAGAGAGAGAAGCGGAGAGGGUGGCAAGUGAAGCCGGUAGCUGUAAACGUGGGAAAAGAGCACCCCGGUAGCUCUCCUUUGUUUUCGCGUUACGUGGGGGAGUAGGGAGGAAAAGAAACUAAGUUCUCAGAAUACUUUAUUAGUGGUCAUGGAACCAUGGUUCCCAGUGCUUCGCAACACACUUUUGUGUGGUCUUUAUUAAUAUAUUAUUAAGGCACCUUGGAUUAGUGUUCCAUACUUACUGAAUAAUUUUUCGACUUGGGGUUUAAUUGGUUGGAGCAGAUUUAGCCGAUAGAUUGUGGUGAAAAGCCCAUACCAUAAAAUUGCAUUAGCUGUCUGUGUUUUGUCAAUGGAUUGCUAAUUCGGGAACCAAUCUACCUUCUACGAGCAGCGGCCAUUAAGGCGGAAGGGAAAAACUACUUUUCAUUAAUAUGUUAAUUAAAGAAUAUGGGACGGAGAGAUAGGAUUUUAAUUUUAGGAAAUAAUACCAACAACGUUUUUUCAAAAAUAUAAGAAGGGAUUACAAUAUGAAGUUCUACUUAAAAAAAGUCAAAAUAGCAUCAAACAAAUAAUGAAGCAUGUUUUUUAUAAUCCAAUUAAUAUGUACAAAAUAAUGAUUUAUCGAAAUCGAUAUACUAAAAUAACGAUCUUGCUUAUGUCAUUUAAUAUUUACCAAUAUUAUUAAGGUCAUCCGAAAUGAAAACGAAAUUAUAAAAAGGACAAAAUGACUACUAACAAAAAAUACAACUUUGAUAAUACAUUAUAACAAACGAUUAUCAUUUGGAUAUUUUUAUAAAAAAUCUAGAGGUGCCGUGAAGCCAGACAUUUGAUUCAAUGCUCGUGCGAACAACACUUGAGUGUUGUUUGAUAAAAUUAAAUGUUGAAAAUUGAAAAAUACUUAAAAAAUAAGUAUGAAUUUGGAUGUUGAAUGUUUUAAAUUCAAAAGUAUCUGUUUGAUAGAAAUAUAAAGUUAUGCAUUAAAUAAUUGAUAUAUUCAAUAAACAACACUUGAUUUAAAUUAAUGUUGAAAUUACUUAAAAAAUAAAUAUUGAAAACGAGCAGAAUAUUUAUGUAAAAAAACCUGUUAUAGUAUAAAUAUUGUAUUGAAUUAAAAUUAAUUGAUAUAUUCAAUAAACUUAAGCUAAUUUAUAUGUUCAAUAAAAUAAAUUUUUUAGUGAAUUUGCUCCUUUUUUUUGGGAUCUGUAA
rnacentral:lncRNA from 1 species